rnacentral:rRNA from 1 species
CGGACGGGUGAGUAAUGUAUAGGAACUUGCCUAGUAGUGGGGGACAACGUGUGGAAACGCACGCUAAUACCGCAUACGCUCUACGGAGGAAAGCGGGGGAUCUUCGGACCUCGUGCUACUAGAUGGGCCUAUAUUGGAUUAGCUGUUGGUAAGGUAAAGGCUUACCAAGGCGACGAUCCAUAGCUGGUUUGAGAGAAUGAUCAGCCACACUGGGACUGAGACACGGCCCAG